UAAAACUUAUGAUUCAGGGCUCCUCUGUCCAUUCCCUUCAUCGUCUUCUUGCAGAACUGGGUUCUUGUCUGUCUCUGAACAAUGUCUUGCAACACUGAUCCCUGCACCGAAGGGCGCCCAUCGCCGUGCGAGGUGAAAUGCCCACAACCUAUUGUGACCAGCACCAAUGAGGCAUGCGUUGUGUCCUGUGGAGACUCCCGAGUGAUUAUAUACCCACCACCUGUCAUUGUGACCUUCCCAGGACCCAUCCUCAGCACAUGUCCUCAGGAAAGUUUGGUGGGGGCGGCUGUUCCCUGCGAGUCAGGGGUGCCUCAGUCAGGGACGACGGUGCCCUUGACGUCCGAAAUCGGGGGGAGCUCGGGGUUCUCUGUGCCUUUGAGGUCCGAAAUUGGGGGGAACUCAGGGUUUUCUGUGCCUUUGAGGUCUGAAAUCACGGGGAACUCGGGGUUCUCUGCUGAGAGAUUGUAUCUGAACCACGAACCUGAGCAACCUUCCACCUACAUGUACUCCUUCACUUCCCAAUGGAGACAUCCUUGCAAUAGACCACGUUGGAACAGAUAUCAGUCCUCUUACAUGAAGAAGGAAGAGCCAGAGGAGGAGGAAAAACCAAAGGAGUGGCAUGUAGACACAGAGGAGUCCUCGUGAGCAUAGCUUGCACAAGGUUUGAACAUCUACAGCUCUAAAGGCAGCCAGAGCUGUAGGGAUUCAACACCUCCUGACAACACAUUUAGGUUUGUCUCUCUCAGGUUACACUUCACUUUAGAUUUAGGCUCUUUCCCCCAAGGGCUUCCCAGAAAUGUGAUUAAACAGUCAUUAACACUGCAAGACUGAUUCCUUGAAUCACAGAAU